rnacentral:lncRNA from 1 species
CUCCUGCCUCAGCCUCCCAAGUAGCUGGGAUUAUAGAUGCCCGCCACCACACCCAGCUAAUUUUUGUAUUUUCAGUAGAAACGGGGUUUCGCCAUGUUGGCCAGGCUGGUCUCGAACUCCUGACCUCAAGUGAUCUGCCCACCUCAGCCUCCCAAAGGGCUGGGAUUACAGGUGUGAGCCACUGCGCCCGCCUGUCUUUUUAAGACAAUAGAAGUUAGUAGGGGCCAGGAGAUCACCUUGGAAUCACAGAAAUUAGAUUUCCUCAAACCAGAUGAUGGGGAGAAGCCAUGGUGGCCUGAAAGAAAUGGCCACCCGGUCUUACCUUACAGGUGCAGAUUCUGCUGGAACCAGCCCUACUGGGCACUCCUGAGCCGCUUGUCCCUGCUACAGCUGUGACACUGGUAGCUCCAGUCACAGAGGGACUUCCGUUCCAUGAGGAGCCUCAGUGGGCGUGCUAGGUGCCAACAGCCCAUGCCGAGGGGCUGCUUCCCUGGCUUCACCUGCUUCCAGCCCUCAUCUUCAGCCAGAAACUCAGCUGCGCCUCUACCCUAAGACUGGUCUCCCGUUGGAGUGUCCUCCUGCCAGCGGGGGGCGCUGUGGGACCCACGAGAACCGCUCCUCCUUGGCUUGACUGCUCCGUCCGUCCCCAGAGAGGAUGAGACUGAAAGAAACUUAACCCAAAGGUGCCAUGACAUUAGGCUGGAAGUGACACUGAGGUGCUGCUAUCUGGCUGGGCAGCUAAUCUGAUCAUUAGCUACUCCCUGUAGCUCACCAAAGCCAGCCUCUGCUUAGAUCUCACACCCGUUGGUUGCUGUCAGCAAAAGGAGACAGGCUCAAGGAAGACUGGACUCCCAGUUGAGAAUGCACACGGGAUAGGGCCUCCUUACUCAGGGCAUAUGGUCUUGGACUAGCAGCGUCUGCAUCUCCUGGGAGCUUCUAGAAAUGCAGAAUGUCAGGCCCCAGCCCAGAUCUGUUGAGUCAUAAUCUGCAUUUUAUCAAGAUACACAGGUAUUUUCCAUGUAGGUUUAAGUUUAGAAGCACUGCACUAGCGGACAUCCUUGCGCCUCAGUUACCCCGCAGAUGGGUCUUUUACUGUGUAAGCAUUUUAUCUGCAUCUCUUCAUUUUCUCUCCUCAUUUCACUUUUUGCCCUAGGAGGUCACAAGCAUCAAUCGUCAUGCAGACUGGAGCUAGAAAAAGAUUGACAAUUUCACCAUGCCUGCCUUAGCAUAUGGCUCUUAGGUUAGUAUAAGGUUGGUCACCAAGUAAUAGGUUUGAGUUUUCAAAACAAUCACUAAGAGGUCUGGAUAUUCAUUCCUAAGUCCUUUCCCUCCCACUAGGGGAGUGUCUUCAAGGCAUCUUGGUUAUGGUCUAGGGUUGUGGAGUGGUUGCCAGGGUUGCCUAAUCCCUAAGUAUCCCAAGUCUUAUCUGAGGAUUGAUGAAAUAUAUCACAUACAAGCCAGACACAGUGGCAUGUGCCUGUAAUCCCAGCCUCUUGGGAGACAGAGGCAGGAAGAUAGCUUGAGUCCAGAAGUUCAAGACGAGCCUGGGCAACAUAGCAAGACCCCAUCUCUAAAAAAAAAAUUGAAAGAAACACAGAAAUAUAUCACAUGCAUGUAUUACUAUUACUCAAUUAUUACAGAGAUACAGAUGCACUUUAAUAAUUCAUUUUGAAAACUUUUUGCAGUGUCUUUUGUUAGUUCCAAUCACUAAGAUGCUGUGUUCCAUGGAAAGGGGCCAUAUUCAUCAAGAAUUUGAGAACCAUGGCUCUAGCGGUCUGAAGCUCCAAGCUCCUAAGACUGCCUAACCAAAACAAAGACACUGGUAUAUAUUUUCCAUUCAUUUAUGAGUUUUCAAAAAAUUUAGGUCUUUAUUAAGAGUUAAAUAUAAACAUUAACUCAUUGUGUUACAGAGAAAUAGGGUCUUUGGAGGAACUGUUUGAACAUGGGUCACAGUUACUUGUUUAUGUAACACGAUUUAGAGGGGUACAAAGAUCCUUGGCAGGAAGGGUAGGAGGAGGAGAUGGAGGAGAUGGGAGAGAAGGAAGGAAGCACCUGUGAAAUCCCUACCUUCAACCUUGUCAGUUUCCAAUUUGCAUAUGCUCAUGUCCCUAAUGAAAAGCACCUCCAAAAUAGACUUCUUUCAUUUAGAUAUAUGUAUUUUUGCGUUAUGACUUUUUCCAUUACAACAGCACAAAACCCAAGAAGGUAGCUGGUGUGGCGAUGCACAACUGUAUUCUCAGUUAUGAGGGAGGCUGAGAUGGGAGAAUCACUUGAGCCCAGGAGUUCGAGGCUACAGUGAUCUAUAAUUGCACCACUACACUCCAGCCUGGGUGACAGAACAACCUCGUCUCUUAAAAAAAAAAAAAUUUAAGUAAACUAGACUUGAAAUCAGGUUUUCAAAUUGCUGUAUUACAAAGUCUUAAAUCACGAUUAAAAAAAUAACAAAACUUGCCUAUAAUCCCAACUACUCAGGAGGCUGAGGUGGAAGAAUCACUUGAACCCAGGAGGCGGAGGUUGCAGUGAGCCGAGACUGCGCCGCUGUACUCAGCCUGCGCGACAGAGUAAGAGUCUGUCUCAAAAAAACAAAGAAACAAACAAACAAAAACAUAAAAAUAACAAAACCCAAGAUGACAUGAAUGUAACAAAGAUAAACAUUUUGUUCUACUGAACAGUUUCUUUUAUCUUGGUCUUGUCCUUCUAAUUUUCUUUCUUUGUGUAUGUUUUAUAUGUUCAUAAGUAGGUAUAGUAUAUGCCUAUAAUUUCCAG